GAUCAUGUGCCUAUGAUUCUCUACGGUACACAAAACAGUGUACAAUGCGUAAUAUCCAGAAAACAUGGCAAACUCUUCAGUUGCAGGACAGAUAGAGACGACAUUUCUAUCCUGUUCAAUAUGCAUGGAACAUUUCAAAAAGCCAAAGGCUCUGCCAUGUUUGCACACAUUCUGCGAGGAUUGCCUGAGAGAUUAUAUUGUCAGCAGAUUUGAGUCAGCUGGCCAGUUUCCUUGUCCCAUCUGUAGACAGGUUGGGGUGGGGCCGGCUGCUUAACUGAGGGUUAGGCACACUUGUGUAUAUCCCUCCAAAUGGAGUGUAUGGAUUUCCCGACAACCACUUUAUCCUCAGUUUACAAGACACUGUUACCCACUCAAGUAGCCAAAACACCGAAUCUGGUAGUUUUGAAUACAGUUAUCAUCAAAAAAACGAAGACUUGUCUCUGCCUUUACUUCAACCGGACAAAUACUCUGUGCGAUUUACUAAACCGGGAUCCCCAAGGUUAUUGAAGACAUUUGGUCACUUUGGCUUGGACCAAGAUGGCUUGGUUCACAUCUCGGGUCUAACAUACUCUUCAAUGACAGGGGAUAUAUUGGUUGCUGACUGUAGUCUGAACAAAGUCCUUGCAUACUCAAAAUCUGGGGAUUAUCGUGGAGGGUUCGUGUGUGACUGCUCCAUUCGUGAUAUUGCAGUCACUGCUCACGGAUCCAUCCUACUGGCUGUCAGCCGCGCUGGUUCCGCUAUAAUGAGGGAGUAUGGAUACGAGGGCAACGUCAUCGCCUCUUACGGCUCCUUCUACAAAUACGAGAACCCGUUUGGUAUCUGUGUGUCCAGAAUGGGGAAAGUCAUUAUUUCUAGUCUGCAACACAACAAUAUCCACAUCUUUACAGAACGAAAGAAACCAUCGUUCAAAUUUGGCUCAAGAGGUAGUGGUUCGAAUCAUUUCUUAUUGCCGUAUUACGUCGCUGUCAAUAGCCGAGACGACAUAGUUGUUUCGGACAGUGGGAACCAUAGGCUCAAAAUCCACAAAAAUGACGGCACAGUUCUUCACGUGAUUGGGCAACAAGGCUCUCAAAGUGGAGAGUUCUUCUAUCCACAAGGUGUAUUCGUAGACAAACACGACAAUAUCUACGUGGCAGACGCGAAUAACUUCAGAGUUCAGGUUUUCUCACCGGAAGGGGAAUACCUAUCCACCCCAGUGGAGAAUACGUACGAAUUCGGCGUCGACGUCAAACCUACCAACGUAAUCGUCGUAGAUAACCGCCUCGUUGUCGCUUUACGCGGGACUCGUGUUUCUCUUCUACAAAUCUACGACUGGGACGACUCAAAGUACUCCCAGUCAGCAAAGACAGGUAGAAAACAGCCAGCGCCCGGCGGACUGCUGGGGUGCUGUUGUCCGUGUCUGUCCAGUAAUUUGUCGUACGAUGAUAUUUGAGUUGUCUGCUGAGCACUCGAACUAUUCAAAUCGUUUAAUGGUGCUGUACGUAGACAUAGCUGUGAUACCACAUAUAAUGCAACAAUUGUCUAGGCACUUAAUUUCUGUUGAGUAAAAUGUAUAGCACAUAAUAUAAUUAAAAAAAAGAUUCCAAAGGUUUCGCCGUUAGUCAUAGAGUAAGGUUGUAAACCUUGAAUUGUCUAAGACCGUACAUGUAGUUUUUAAAAGAUAUGACAUGUAAACCACCCCAUUUUGUCACACAAUAAAAGAAUUUUUAUG
rnacentral:misc_RNA from 1 species